AGAGCCUUUUGAAUGUUCUGAUUGGAAAUCUUAAUGUUAGCUUUGUCUCUUAUUGAUAGCAUUAUUACCUUGCUGAUUGAUAGCAAUGUCUGUCUACUUAGUCAAUCAAGCCUGGAAAUUGGGACUCAUUCUGGAUGCUUCCUCCCCUUCAGCUAUGUUUCUAUUCAUCCUCAGACCUUCUUGCAUCAACCAUGGUGACUCCUCAUACUCAACCAUUUGUUGUUUAGUCACUCAGUCGUGUCUGACUCUUUUGUAACCCCACUCGAACUGUAGCCCGCCAGGCACCUCCAUCCCUGGGAUUUCCCAGGCAAGAAUACUAGAGUGUGUUGCCAUUUCCUUUUCCAGGAAAUCUUCCCGGUCCAGGGAUUGAACCUGCGUCUCCUGUGCUGGCAGGCUUGUUCUUUACCACUGUGCCAUCAAGGAAACCCUGUAUUUACCUACUAGAGAGACUACUGCCUCGCAUAAACUCUGUGGUGAAGAGCCUUCAGCUGCCCUGUCAGAUGGAUUUAGAAGGCUUGGUGGCGGCCCGGAAGACCUGGCGCUUCAAAGCCCUACUUUGCCUUGGGGACCCUCGUCCAUGGGCACCCCCAGCCCUUUUCUUUUAUUUGAGUUUGAAUUCACACUUGCUGGCCCUUGCCUCUUCCCUGUAAUUCCUUUUAAUGGGCUGGGCUUUCCUGUGAAUACUCCAGUUUUCAGUGGAGAAACUGGCCUCAGAGAAGUUGGGUGAUAGAGGCUGAGUCACAGGGAAUGCACUAGGCCGAAAUGACUUAGUACAUGUCUCAUGGCAAUUUAAUACUGCACUCUGCCUAAGCCUGGAGAUGCUCAGAGAUCAUAGACAGACUCAUCUGAGAUUCAUUCCUGAAGCUUCACAAACUCCUCUUCAAAUAGUUUGCAGUCUAUAGUUAUCAGGGCUUUAAAAUUUUUUUUUUUUUGGUAAACUUUUUUUUUUAACAACAUCUCUUACAAACAAUGUUUUGUUUUUGCUCACUUCAGUUUCUUUGAAAAUUUCUCUCCUAUUGACCAUUCAUUUAGUCACCACACAUUUAUUGAGUUCUUACUGUAUGCCAGGCAUUGUGCUAGGUGCUGGGGAUGGAUUCAGAGAUAAUUUGGAGGCGUUUGGGAGUGGAUAAUUACAGCACAGUGAGAUAAGUGCUAUAAUAGAGGGAUAUAUAAAGAGCUAGAAAUAGCACUAUGAAUAACAUCUCUGAACAAACUGCGUUCUUUUUUCCUCUUGGAUUAUUCCCUUAUGUAUAUUGCCCAAAGUGGGAUUACUGGGUCAUUUAAAAGAUGAAAACAAUUUGGCACAAAAAGAUGUAAUGACUUGCCUGGGGAAUACAGCUCAAUUUUCUAUGGGGGAAAAUUGUUGACAAGUCCAGAUUUAGAUACUUCACCAGGAGAAUUGGGCAGUUUUUGUACUAUUCCUAUCAAUGUGGUGGUUUUCAGGGGAGCACCUCUUCUUAACAUGUCACCGCACAUGUAGAAACACGUGUCCUUAUAUUUAAUCUCAUAGAUCCCUUGUUGAUGCUCACUACCUAUGUAUUAAUAAGUAUGGUCAUUUCCAUUUUAUGAAUGAGAAUGUGCCUUUGUUAAAAAGAAGUGACUUGCUCAGGAUUCCAUAGUUAUUAGUGGAGAAUCGAAACAUCAGGUGUAAGAUUUUUUGAUUCUGUAUCUUCUUUCCUGUUUUCCAUGCUCUUUUUACCAACUGAGGCUUGGGCUGGGGUUACUUUAUUCCAGUGAGGGCUUGAAAUUCAUUUAGUGGUUGUAGAAGCUCUUCUCUAAAAGGUCAGAAUCCAUGAGAUAGGUAUAGAAGUCCUAACUUCCAGAGGGUCUGGUGUCCUUCUAUACAUUGACCUGAAAGGGCCUGAAGGCUCAUUAUUCCUGACCCUGGCUCAGGUCUUGAAAGGUUAAUGCAUGGCCUUAGCACUGAAGCGCAGAAUCCCAAGGAAAGCUGAGACCGCACGACAGUCCUGCUUUGAAACAUUUAUUGUUUUUCUUGUAUACUCGGCUGUAUGCUUCCCAGCUUUAAAUUCACUUAUUUUGUUAUUCAUAACAUUUCCCUAGUAUUUUUGGCAUUUAAGUGAAAACUUCUACCCCAGGUACCCGUAAUCAGACAGCAGUACCUGUUCAGUGUGAACACCCAUCAUUCUCCCAGUCUCUCAUUUAGUCACCUUCUGCCAUAACUCAUGCUGUUCCUUUGCUUGAGAUGACCUCUCCCAUCGUCAUCCCUAGGACUCCUGCUCCUCCUAUAAACUUCUGCACACAUACCCCCUUUCUGAGUGGAUACUUCACCUUCUGAGUGAAGUAACCUCUGGUCACUGCCCACUUCCCGCCGUCCACAGUUCCCCAGAAUUGGUCUCUUUGUUUUCUGUUUUGCUGACUCACAACACAGUGGGCUCUGAGGCAAUAAAGUAUAACCAUGUGAUACUUAUGAGCAUGGGAUCUGGAUUUGAAUCUUGCUGUGAUGCUUCCUAGCUGUGUGAUCUGUUAGGCCAGUUAAGCUGGUAAGUUUGCUCAUCUGUCAAGUCUGUACAAGUAAUCACGGCAACCUACAGUGUUGUUUGGAGGAUUUGUAUUGUUAUCUGUGCCUCUGCUAUGGCACCCACCAUCAUGUAGUCUUUCUAGACUGGGAGCUAUUUAAGGGCAGAAAGGGAAUUACACCUUGCCUGUGCCUUUGCCUUAUGGGACCUGCCACAAAAUCCCCUUUAAGGGAAAGGAUUCCAUGUAACAUCCCAGUAGUGUCAGUUCAGGCUCAUAUGUAGGCCCCAGUAAUGUGGUCCCAGGACUGUCCAGGAGCUCUAUGAUGUCGUGCUUCUUGCACACACAGUACAUGCUGCAUAGACUUCUGGCUCCUGCUUCUUGAGUGACAGGAAAGAGGCUUGAGCUUGUGUUUAGCCUAUGUUCUUCUGAUUCAUCAAAUUGGAUAGCUUUGUCAUUUCCCUGAAGGCAGAGUGG
ensembl:lncRNA